UACGUAGGGAGCGAGCGUUGUCCGGAUUUAUUGGGCGUAAAGCGUGCGCAGGCGGUUGUGUAAGACAGAUGUGAAAUCCCCGGGCUCAACCUGGGAACUGCAUUUGUGACUGCACGGCUGGAGUGCGGCAGAGGGGGAUGGAAUUCCGCGUGUAGCAGUGAAAUGCGUAGAUAUGCGGAGGAACACCGAUGGCGAAGGCAAUCCCCUGGGCCUGCACUGACGCUCAUGCACGAAAGCGUGGGGAGCAAACAGG
rnacentral:rRNA from 1 species